UUUAACUGAUUUGUUACCUAAAUUUAAACUCAAUUUGAAAAAGCACACUAUAAAUACAUCAGUUACACCCAUAACGUCUCUUUUCAACGCUCGUCUCCUCCUUUACAAAGAUCGCUCUUCUCUUCUCUCUUCUGCACAACUUUGAAUUGCUCUAAAUGACAAUGGUGAAGAUCAUGGUGGCGAGGAUAAAAUUGCUGAGAAACAAGGAGGUGGUUGUCAGGAAAAUGAUGAGAUACAGACAUUGGUAUGCUUCUCGAAUCCCACUGCUCGAUCGUAUUCAGGGCUUAAAUUUUGGUUGCAAGCAAUGGCUGCGAAUCCAUCUGGGUUGGAGAAUUGAAUGCUGGAGCGGCCAAACUUGUGGAGGAUCAAGAUUGAUGGGAUAAAACAAGACCUUGGUUCGGUCCUUUUUUCAUUCCCUUCAUUGUGAAAGGUUAGAGAGACUUCAUUAGGUAAGAAACACAAUAUUUGAUUAUUACUCAACCCAACUCAAUUUUUUUAAUGUCUUCUUUUUGUUAAAUAAAUUGAAUUGUUUAAGUGCAUUCUAACUUUGUUUUUUUUCAGAGGGGCGGCCUUGGGGCAUGACGGUGCCUCGGGGCUGCUGGGGGGAGGCCUCGGGGCACGACGAGGGGGGCGGCCUACCCGCACUUGGCAAGCCUGGUGCGACGAGCUCGACCCAGAAGGCGCCCCUUGCUUUUCGCUGGCAAGAGGUUUCGAACUUGUGACAUGGAAGUCCCAAAAAAUUAAGGAAAAUAUUUUCCAAAACUUUCAUCCAACUUCAAAUUACAUUUUUUUUUUGGAAAACACAUUAAUCUUUUAAAAAUAUUUUCUAGAAAAAUUUCAUUCAUAAAUCAAAAACUAAAACUAAAUAUGAGAAAAUAAGUCCAAAUCAUUAUUCUGUGGCAGUUCUUAUGUUCCUUGAUGAUAAAAUGUUGAGUGGGAAUUGUCUUGCUUCUAACUUAGUUAUAUUUGGAUGCUGAUGCAUAAUUUGUGAGUGGUAAAGGGACAGACACAAACAUCUAAGACUUGGCACAUAUCAUGUUCCAAAUCAAUUUAUCUACAUAGGUCGAAGUAAAUAUCUGAAAUCAUCCAUUAUUGUUUAUUCUGAAGGUAUAAUGUCCAACUGGAAGCUAAAUGCAUGUAUCUGGUUGUGUUUGUGUUUCACGGGUAGAAGAAAGAAAAAAGUAUGUAGGUCAAAUGAAUGAGAAAAUUACAUGGUCUAGUUCUUAAUCUCUUCCAUAUUUCUCAAUGUUGCUUUCGACAUUACAAUGGCUAGGAUGUUAAGGAUUCAAUUUAAGAGCAUUUAGAAGGUUUGACAGUCUGAAUUAUGGAUGUUUUAGGUCCAAUUAUUGCAAAAGCUUACUCUUGGUUGGUUUUAUACCUGUAGUCCAUUGUUGAAUAUGUCAUAGUUUCUUUUGUGAACGGCAAGCAGGUUGUUGCAGAAAAUUCAAUAUUCCAAGCUAAAGCGGAAUCUGCAAUCACAAUACCUAAAAGGUCACAGGUUUAGUGCUGUAGAGUGGUGCUAAUGCUUUCCAUCUUUUGAUAUCAUGCACUGGGACAUUGUGGUUCUUGUUGGGCUGUUGGUGCUGCUGAGUCGUUGUCUGAUUGUUUCUGAUACUCAUUUUGGCUAGAAUAUAUCUAUGUCAGCAAAUGAUAUCAUAGCAUGCUGUGGUCACUGAAGAGUGUAACCCUUAGUUUGAUAAAAAGGGAUGUUCCCACCCUGGAUAUUGCCAUUCCAUAGUUCAAGAGGAAGUGUGUUAAAAAGAAUCUACAUCGGAGUAAGUCCAAGCAUUUUUACGUCAAUGCGUUCCUGAACGUGGAACUUGAUGUCUCGACGCCUCAAUGUGAUUACUAAUUCUUCAAGUAAAACACUAAUUAAAUAGGAUUCAUUCAAGUUUCUGAAGAUUUGGGGAAUAAUAACAUUUUAAAGCUUCAUAUUCUUCCCCUCCUAAGUUAUCCGCAACAUUUGUAAUCUGCAACUUGGAUAUGGGCUGCAAAUUACCAUUUCUUUAACUACUACUGAAUCUGGUGUAAUGUUUGGUGACAAUGCUGUUCAGGAUCAUCCAGUGGGCAGGAAAGGGAAUUUGAUUACUUUGUGUGGUUGGUUAAAGAACACGGCAACGACAUGAUUGCUACUCCAGCUAAUACUCUGCUUGUUGAAAGUGGAAUGAGAUUCAUAUUAUAUGAAAUCAAAUUGCUCGAGUAUUAAGUAAAUCUAGAUUUCUUUCUAGACACAACUGAAUCUGUUUUUGAGAGACUGGAAGAUUAGAGAUACUUUAUUCUCUUCGGACAGAAAUCUUUCCCACAACCGAAGCAGAGCAGUCGGAAAAACAGCAUAUCCAAGCAGGUUGGCAGAGGGAAAUGUUACCAGCACCAUCAUUAGCGUAAUUUUGCAGCUGAGAACCAGUUAAGCUCUUUAUAAGAAACAGCAUUUGGGAGCUGAGGAGCAAAUCUUAAGUCAGCUUCUUCGCGGUGGUGAUAUCUUUCUUUCCGCUCUUCAAAAGAGGUUGCUUUGAUGAAAAUUUGCAUCGCCAUCACGGUUCAAGUUUCAUACUAGUACAAAAUAGUGAUUGAUGGUACAAAAAUUGAGUGAAUUUUUCAUUAGGACAAUAAAAAAUAAGAUUGGAAUCAAAAGGGCAUGGAAGAAGGAGACCUGCUACAUGUAAGUCCGCAGGUCAACCUGGGACUGUCAUUGUACUCUGAUCAAACUAAAAGGUCACAGGUUUAGAUUGUAGAGUUUUUUAAUAGAGUGGUUCAAUUUUUAUGCGAAGUUACUUUUAAUUGUCAAAUAAUUGUUUGACAGAGUUCAAAAUAAUUGUUGGCCACCAACUCUACCUUUUUGAAUUCUAGUGUUACCAUCUGCUAUAAUUGUAGAAAUAUUAGUGGUUUAUAUUCUA